rnacentral:rRNA from 1 species
CGGCAAAAGCUCAAAUUUGAAAUCUAGCACCUUCGGUGUUCGAGUUGUAAUUUGAAGAUGGUAACCUUGGGUUUGGCUCUUGUCUAUGUUCCUUGGAACAGGACGUCAUAGAGGGUGAGAAUCCCGUCUGAUGAGAUGCCCAUUCCUAUGUAAGGUGCUAUCGAAGAGUCGAGUUGUUUGGGAAUGCAGCUCUAAGUGGGUGGUAAAUUCCAUCUAAAGCUAAAUAUUGGCGAGAGACCGAUAGCGAACAAGUACAGUGAUGGAAAGAUGAAAAGAACUUUGAAAAGAGAGUGAAAAAGUACGUGAAAUUGUUGAAAGGGAAGGGCAUUAGAUCAGACUUGGUGUUUUACGAUUAUCUUCUCUUCUUGAGUUGUGCACUCGUAUUUCACUGGGCCAGCAUCGAUUCGGAUGGCAAGAUAAUGGCAGUUGAAUGUGGCUUCACUUCGGUGGAGUGUUAUAGCUUCUGCUGAUAUUGCCUGUCUGGAUCG